GGGGCUUCGAGUCACUCCAAACCCCUGUGACAUACCAAUUGUUGCCUCGGCGGAUCAGCCCGCUCCCGGUAAAACGGGACGGCCCGCCAGAGGACCCCUAAACUCUGUUUCUAUAUGUAACUUCUGAGUAAAACCAUAAAUAAAUCAAAACUUUCAACAACGGAUCUCUUGGUUCUGGCAUCGAUGAAGAACGCAGCAAAAUGCGAUAAGUAAUGUGAAUUGCAGAAUUCAGUGAAUCAUCGAAUCUUUGAACGCACAUUGCGCCCGCCAGUAUUCUGGCGGGCAUGCCUGUUCGAGCGUCAUUUCAACCCUCAAGCCCCCGGGUUUGGUGUUGGGGAUCGGCGAGCCCUUGCGGCAAGCCGGCCCCGAAAUCUAGUGGCGGUCUCGCUGCAGCUUCCAUUGCGUAGUAGUAAAACCCUCGCAACUGGUACGCGGCGCGGCCAAGCCGUUAAACCCCCAACUUCUGAAUGUUGACCUCGGAUCAGGUAGGAAUACCCGCUGAACUUAAGCAUAUCAA
rnacentral:rRNA from 1 species